CCACUUCGGGUGGGGAUUAGUGGCGAACGGGUGAGUAACACGUGGGCAAUCUGCCCUGCACUCUGGGACAAGCCCUGGAAACGGGGUCUAAUACCGGAUAUGAGCUUCCGCCGCAUGGCGGGGGCUGUAAAGCUCCGGCGGUGCAGGAUGAGCCCGCGGCCUAUCAGCUUGUUGGUGAGGUAACGGCUCACCAAGGCGACGACGGGUAGCCGGCCUGAGAGGGCGACCGGCCACACUGGGACUGAGACACGGCCCAGACUCCUACGGGAGGCAGCAGUGGGGAAUAUUGCACAAUGGGCGCAAGCCUGAUGCAGCGACGCCGCGUGAGGGAUGACGGCCUUCGGGU
rnacentral:rRNA from 1 species